rnacentral:sRNA from 1 species
UCCAUCGGUAUACAAGUAUUGAUUUUACUGAUAGAGUAGUAUAUUAUAACUUACAGUAUCUCAGAAAUAUAUUGAUAAUAAUAUUGACUGGAGUAUAAUGGUUACUGGACAGUGUGUUGGUGAUGUUAAAAAGUUCUACAUCAUUUCAAUGUUAUCAUGAUAUUGAAUUUUUGAUGUAUCAAUGAUGUGAAUAUGGGUUGCAAGCAGUGACAUGUGACUGAUAUAGAACAGUGGAAUCACUGUGUAAUCACUGUAAAUUAACCCUACAUUCUUCUGGUAUGGAGAGUUCUAAGGACCUCCCGUGAUAUAAGCAGCG